GCCAGAGGACCUGGACAUUUUGUUAGGACACAUGGCAUCAUGGAUAUUAAAUGAAAACUUGACUGUCAUGGCACAAGGGUUGAGACGAAUGCAAGUGCAGUUAAAGCUUUUAUUAAAGAGAGGCAGGCAGACAAAUCCAAAAUUGAAGGGCAAUAUCAAGGUUACAAAACAGGCCCAAGGUCAGGCGAUCGGCAAACAGGCAAAACAGGGCUUAGACAAGAAUCACAAACGAGAACGAAAACAGGUGUUCCAUAGAGUUCAGUUCCCCUGUUUCCCCUUCAGCGCGCAUGUUGAAAUCAUGAUGUUUUCUGUUCCUGUUGCUGUGUUGAGUGGAUAGUGUGUGCUUGAUCAUCGUGUGUGUUAGUUUAUAGUGUUUUUUAUCUACUUUCCAUCAGCAUAAGAGUCUCUGUGCAACAGCUAAUGCAUCAAGUGCACUGCACAGUAAGUAGUCUGUGUUAUUAUUUUAGGAUACUCAUCUGACUCAUCGCGCUAGUACUUACUCCUGAGAAGUGCACUUAUGAAAGUAGCUUCAUUCAGCAAGUCUGAGAAAAGUGGUUCCCCCCUGUAUAUUACAGUGUGAGGAUUUAUAAAGCACUACAGUGAUGCAUGUGAUGUAUUUAAGUGUCAUCAUUAUGUAUAACAAGUUUCAUCCUUAGAUCAGUCUCUUACGCUGGGAACACAGGGACGGGGAAGACUGGGACAGAGCAUCUCCAAAACAGGGUGUUCCCGGUGUGCAGUAGUUGGUACCAACUGAAAGUGGUUCAAGGAAGGACAACCGUUGAACUGGUGACAAGGUCAUGGGUGCCCAAAGCUCAUUCAUGUAUGUGGGGAGCAAAGGCUAGCCUGUCUGGUCCAAUCCCACAGAAAAGUUAUACCAUUACACCUUAAUUUUGAUAGUGUUUUAUAGGCAGCUUUAAUGACAGACUCGAGUGAAUAAUUAAAAAGAUACAAUGAUAGUUAUUGAAUGUAAAUAGUCUGAUUAGCAAAGACCCUAACUAAAACACAGAAUACAAGCACUAAUAUUUAAUGGGUAUUUAAUUAUUUGUAAAUUAUAUUGAAAACAUUACACUGUUGUGAAGAUAUUUGAAAUUGUUUUGUAAAAGGUGUCAUUAUGUUGGGGCCUAGCUCUCAUUGCUUCUACACUGUUUUGACCAGCAGGUGUCGCCAGCGUGUGGUGUUCAUUUUGUGAAUCAUUUUUGUGAAGCAAUUGUUUCAAUUGAUUCGAAGCUUUGAAAAGCCUCGUUUCUUCCAUCACUACCUGAUACACUGUUGCUUG
ensembl:lncRNA